rnacentral:lncRNA from 1 species
GAGAUAACUCUUUAAAUCAGUUAAGCGUUUAUAAAAGUCAAGUUCAUCAAUGUAUUUUAAGCAUUUACCUGAAACAGAUUGAAAAUAAUCUAUGUCACCUAGAAGCUUAGAAUAUAUUUUUGAAAAUGGUUGACACAAACGUACUGAUGAUUUAAAUUUUAUUUCCCUUAACCUAGGUCUACCUCCUUAAAAGAGGGACGAAAGAUACCAAAGGGACAGUCAAACUCAUAAAUCUAAAACAAACUGACAACGCCAUGGCUAAAAAUGAAAAAGACAAACAGAAAAACAAUAGUACACAUGACACAACAUAGAAAGCUAAAGAAUAAACAACACGAACCCCACCAA